GAGCUCAACAACCUGAUAUCCAACAUAAGCAGCGUGAAUCAUGGGAGUCAUUUGUGACCAUGCUGAGACUUUUCCAGGACCACAGUAAUUUUCAUUCUGGUGCUAACUGAAAGGGACAGGUCCCCAAUUUUACCAUCAUUUUGACUCAAUACAGCCAUAUGACAUUUGAUGCACACAAGAGCAGAUUUCUAUUCAUCACAGACCUUGGAGAAGUUCAGAGGGGCCCAGCAAUUCGGAAUGAGAAACAUUCCUUCCCAAGAACUCCUCUAGAGUGGAAAGGGGAGAAGGAGUUUAUUUGUACCAGAUUCCUGACCCUGGAAAAAGUUUCUGGCAUAGAUGAUGAGUGGGAGAAGAUGAAGAAGAAAAAUAAGGUGUAUGAAUAUGUUGCUGUUGCCAAAUGAGGAAUCUGCAUUUCAAGAAGCCAAGCAGAGCCAUAAUUCCCCUUUCCUG